rnacentral:rRNA from 1 species
CCUACGGGAGGCAGCAGUGAGGAAUAUUGGUCAAUGGGCGGAAGCCUGAACCAGCCAAGUAGCGUGCAGGAUGACGGCCCUACGGGUUGUAAACUGCUUUUAUACGGGAAUAACGCGCCUUACGUGUAGGGCUUUGCAUGUGCCGUAUGAAUAAGGACCGGCUAAUUCCGUGCCAGCAGCCGCGGUAAUACGGAAGGUCCGGGCGUUAUCCGGAUUUAUUGGGUUUAAAGGGAGCGUAGGCCGCAUGUCAAGCGUGCUGUGAAAUGUCCGGGCUCAACCCGGGCCUUGCAGUGCGAACUGGCGGGAUGGAGUCGGAGAAAAGCAGGCGGAAUGCGUGGUGUAGCGGUGAAAUGCUUAG